UAAUGGGGAACCCCUAGAGGAAGAAAAGGUUGAGCAGACCCUUCUACAGCUAAGAAGUUUAAAGAAAACUGUAAACAAUCUAUGGAGGUAGGGUAUUUGAAACUUUGGUGUAUGAUCUUUUUCUUCUUUAACUCUCUUUUGUUCCAAAGAGGUAGGGUCUUUGAAGCUUGCUUUGAUGUUUGGCCUUGAUGGCUUUGCUUAUCUUUGUCUAAUGUAUUUUGAAAGACAAGUUUGGGUCUGAAUGGUGCUUUUGAGUGAUGGUACUUUUAUUUGGAUGCGGUACUUUACCUUUAUUAUUUAAGGCUGCAAUUCGAUUUAAGGUUGAGAUUGUAUCACCUGCAAAAUGGGAAAGGUCACAUUCUACUCUAUCUUGCCUCCUUGGAAAAGGUAUACAAAUAGCAUUCCCUCCUGAGUUAAUAAUGACUAUGUUGUCUGAAGCUUUGGCUUGAGCAGUAGAUUUUGUAUAGAGAUGCAAGCAGAAGCAGAACGCAAAAAGAGAGCUCAAGUUCUUGACUCUGAAGGAGAAAGACAAAGCCAACAUCAAUGUUGCUGAUGGAAAGAAGAGUUCUAUAAUCUUACAAUCUGAAGCUGCAAAGAUGGAUAAAAUUAACAUGGCCCAAGGUUAUUUAUCAUGUCAAUAAAGAUUAAUUCCCACAGUAUGGAAGUAAUGUUUUUCUUCCAUCCUAAUAUUAGUACUAAAAUCUGUUUUGAUAAGUAAGUUAUUACUGAUAUCUUUAGAACAUAUAUGCUAUUUUGGACAUGCAUUUAAUUUUAGCAUGGACUAGGAUAGAAUUCAUAAUCAAUACAAGCUUUGGUCUGUAUUAUAAUGUUUUUGUUGGAGUGGUUGCCACAAGAAAUCUAGGCCGUGUAUUGGAUUUUGAAAGGAACUUAUGUAUAUGUUAAGCCAGGUCUCACUAAAGGGGGCUUGUUCAUGUUCUCUUGUAUGGUAUGUGAAUAUCAACUCGAGAAGUCUUAUGCUGAA